GGUACGCGAGGAAACGCAGAAGUGACGGCCGCGCGGAUAGUGGGGACAGUGGCGUGUGUGAAGCGCAAGCGUCGACAAAAGACUCAGAAGAGAGUCAGUCGUUCACGAACCACCGGCAACGAUGAACCGAAACAACAAUCAAGAAGGCAUUUUGAAUCCAGCGGGGAUUCGGGUGGAUCCGAACCAGCCACCACCUCCGGGCGUUGAGGCGCAACCUCAAUGUCCCGGAGGUGUAAGUGUGCGGCUGAGGCCCCCGGUCCCGCUAAAAUCCAGCAGCCGGGGGUGGCGUGGGGGGUCAACCCGAAUCCCCCACGUCCGGGAUACCAUUGGGGCAACGCGCCGCCCCAGUGGUAUGGAUGGCGGCAGGAGCCUCAACAGCCCCUAACGCCGAUUCCGGAACUCUACGGCGAGCGACAGGGUCUGUUGAUGGCGGCCGCUGUUCAGCCGCCACCGCCGCCACUCCAGCCCCCGAUGAUGCUGUUCCGCCGCCCUCUCCUGCUGCCUCUUCGGCGGCGAGGCCUGCUCGCGCGGCUAGCCCGACGCUAGAGGAACGGAUCACGGAGGCUGUCCGGGUGGCGGUGGCAGCCGCUAUGACCACCGGCGGUCCCGUUCCUCGAGGGGAAGGCAGCCGCCGAAACCGGCACCGCCGCCGUCGAGGAGGUGGUAGGGGAAACCGCAGGGCCGGGAGUGGGGGGCGCAACCA
rnacentral:lncRNA from 1 species